UACGUAGGGUCCGAGCGUUGUCCGGAAUUAUUGGGCGUAAAGGGCUCGUAGGCGGUUUGUCGCGUCGGGAGUGAAAACUCAGGGCUCAACCCUGAGCGUGCUUCCGAUACGGGCAGACUAGAGUGCUGUAGGGGAGACUGGAAUUCCUGGUGUAGCGGUGAAAUGCGCAGAUAUCAGGAGGAACACCGGUGGCGAAGACGGGUCUCUGGGCAGUAACUGACGCUGAGGAGCGAAAGCGUGGGGAGCGAACAGG
rnacentral:rRNA from 1 species